GUGUUGUACGAAAGGAGAGAAAGUUAGCACUCCCUUGAUAAGGACGGACAACACAUAUACUGUCAAGGCACUGUCGCACUUGCGGCACCUGACACAUUUUUAU
rnacentral:ncRNA from 1 species